rnacentral:miRNA from 7 species
UCAAUCUCCAGAGGAAGUGGCUAUGCUUGUGGGAUAGAGGAAAAUGUUGCCACGGUCUGAAGGAAAAGGUUGAUUGUAUCUUUUUCCUACAUGAAGUUGGCAGGACA